GUUAAAAACACCUUUUUAAAGCAUUUACCUGAAAGUACUGUAACACUGUACACUUGGGAAAACACUGUGUCUUUUCAACACCAAAGCAAGGUAUGUAUGUGUCAACAGUUUAUGGGCUGGUUUGGUCUGGUUCUGUGACUAGUGGGGUGGGGGGACCCAUGGACCCAUGCUCCAGGAAAGGGAAAAGGGAAAAAAGGGAAAAGAGAAAAAAGGGAAAAAGGGUAGAGAGAUGGGCCUAAAAACAAAGCAAUGAUCUGAGGAGAAACAAACUGAUUUACUAAAUAAGAUAUCAGAAUGCAAGUUAACACACUAUAAUACAGUAUAAUUGGAAUUGAAGCUAAUAAAUCAAAUAAAAUGAGAGAGUGUCCGAAAGCUGAAGGCCUUACUCUAAUGCUGAGGUGAAGCGAUCUAGGGAGCUCACACACUGCUGAGAUCAAAAAGGGGAGGGAAAGUGUUCUGCGGAUGGUGUUCAUCAUUCCCCCUGAGCAGAAAAUGUAAACUCAAAUAACACAAAGUCCUCUGGGGUAUGUAGUAUGUAGUUCUUCUCUUCUAAGAAACAGGUACCCAGAACUAUCCACAGUCCACAGAACAGGAGCAUUAACUCUUUAACUCCGAGUGCACUACAUGAUGUUAUGAUGUAGAAUACCAAUAACCAAAAAUCAUAAAACCAUGACAGGUGGUUUACUCAGCACCUGGCCUGAGGUCUGCUGAUGGGUCUCACCUGUCUCAAAGGGGGAAAUGGAUCCUUGCCCAGGAGCUGGCAGGACUUGAAGAGAGGGCUUUAAUCUAGAUAUGAAGGGGGAAGGGGAUAAAACCAGGCCUGUUAGAGGGGAGCAAUAACAGGAUUAGGGGUGAAGCAAAGGGCUCAGAUGACGUGUAUCUUUGCCAACACACACAGCAUGGGCAACAAACAGGAGGAGCUGGAAGCCAUUGUGCAGCAGGCAGAUUAUGACUUAGUUGCCAUUAUGGAAACAUGGUGAGAUCACUCCCAUGACUGGAGAGCUGCAAUGGAUCAUCCAGUCCAACUGUCUACCUAUUACCAAUAGUUCUCACUAAACCAUGUCUCUCAAUACAAUGUUGAAAUGUUCCUUG
ensembl:lncRNA